GAUGAACGCUGGCGGCGUGCUUAACACAUGCAAGUCGAACGGAAAGGCCCAAGCUUGCUUGGAUACUCGAGUGGCGAACGGGUGAGUAACACGUGGGUGAUCUGCCCUGCACUUCGGGAUAAGCCUGGGAAACUGGGUCUAAUACCGGAUAGGACCACUUCUUGGAUGUUGUGGUGGAAAGUUUUUUCGGUGUGGGAUGAGCUCGCGGCCUAUCAGCUUGUUGGUGGGGUAAUGGCCUACCAAGGCGUCGACGGGUAGCCGGCCUGAGAGGGUGUACGGCCACAUUGGGACUGAGAUACGGCCCAGACUCCUACGGGAGGCAGCAGUGGGGAAUAUUGCACAAUGGGCGCAAGCCUGAUGCAGCGACGCCGCGUGGGGGAUGACGGCCUUCGGGUUGUAAACUCCUUUCGCUAGGGACGAAGCGUUUUGUGACGGUACCUGGAGAAGAAGCACCGGCUAACUACGUG
rnacentral:rRNA from 1 species